rnacentral:tRNA from 1 species
GGGCUUGUGGUUUAGUGGUAUAAUACUCCCUUAGCAUCUCUGCUUCACUGUAGAUUGAGACUGGGAGUGGUCCAGGGUUCGAUUCCCUGCAAGUCCA